CUCAGGUAGUACCCACCCGAAGCCUUGAUGGCGCGUGUCGCAGCAGAGUGGCCCAGCUCCAGGGAGUGGAUGAAGAUCUCUGUCGUCUUCUCCCCGGUGACGAAGGCACGUAGAAGAACUGAAGCUUGAAGAACCGUGUGAGGAGUGGGCGAUUGUUUUCCAGCCGUCUGGCAAGAAGAAGAGGACACCAACAUGAUAGAAAUCCAGCCGUAACCCUGAAGAUAGGAAUGAUGCCCUAGAGGAUGGUGCAGCAACAAGAUGCUGAAGAACCUGGGCCCCUGAAUGACUGUGUGGAGCAGAGUCAGCAGUCUGACUGGACUGUGAGCCUUGGGAACCAGAGCAGGCGAUGGGGACAGUGGGCACAGCCUCACUCUCUCAAGAUCCUCACCUAAUACUCCAGAGAAGCCAGCUUUUUCUCCCACUGCCUGCAGCUUGGUCCUGAGCCACUGCCGGGCCUCUGCUACAUCCCCGAUACCAGAUGCCAGCUCCUGUGCCUCUGCAGUCUCUGCGAAGAUGUCCUCAAGCUCUGCCAGGGUCUUGGACUGAAAGCCCAGGAGGAGACAGUACAUGGUACAGUGCUCCUAUACCAUGGCCUGGCUGCCCGCCUUUUCCAGCUCCCAGGGUCUUACUGAGGACAGCAGUGACCAGUCCCCUCCCUGGCCCGAUCAUCCACCUCUACCCACAGCUGGCCAGGGAGCCAGUCCUCCCCCUCACCCCCUAGUCUCAGAAAUGGUUAGGAGAGAAAGGCCCGAGCCAUAGCACUGCAGUUGGGAGGGACUUCAGUGGUCCUCACUGCACCCCAGAGAAGGGAAGGGGCUCUCCAGGAUGACACAGCUGACCUGCCACAGAGUCAGGACUAGAAGCCAGGUCUUCAGUCCAAAGCUCAUUCCCAUUCCCAUGGCAUAUGCUAUCUUCUGAGGCACCAGGCACUGGCACCCAGCCCACUGCCCACAGUGCCACCUACUCUGGUCAGGAUCCAGCACACCAGAAACCUUCUCCACAAGGCCAGCCCUCCAGCCACUGCCCUGCCAGGUCACUCAGGGUGAGGAAGGCUAGUGAACCCCAGAGACUGCAGCCAAGAAGGAGCAGAGAGGGGGCUCUGUCUCUCCAGAGGAGUGCUCUGCCGGAGCCCCAAGGCCCCAGGGCACUCACACGGUGGAACUGCGGUGACUCCUGAUGGGCAGGCCCUGCUCAGCCCUCACCAGGCGCUGGUAGGAGAUUCCUGUGGGCCGAUGACAAAGAGAAAGUUUGUGGGCUCAUGUGUUCCUCCGGCAUCAUGACCUCGUGCCUCACAAUGAGCCAGGCACUAGAGAACCGGUCAGAAGUCCCAGGAUGAGGCUCAGGGAACUCCAGGGAAGAAAGCUGCUGUUUGGACCCUCCCUUCUGUGUUUCCAUUUACUCAUCGCAAGUAAUCCCCGCCCUGUGAGACCACAGCCUCCAGUCCCCCAAAUCUGUCCUGGGCCUUGCGCUCCUCUGGAUCACCUCAACCUCUCGGGCAGCCCUCCCUUCUUGAGGGCUGCCCACUCCCCUCUUGGCCAUUCUGCCCAAGCCCCGUCCCCAGGCUUGGGGUGGCCUGACUGGAGACACAGGGAUGCAGGGUUAGAGCCUGGGUCAGAAGCCUGAGUUCUAUCCUGGCUCUUCUGCGUGGCCUUGUACAGGUCACUUGAUCCCUGGGCUUGUUACUCCUUAUAAGGGGCAGAUUAGAUCGGUGGCUUCUGAGGCCUUUAACAGGCUAUGAUUCCCAGGACCCACUUCGGCUCUUCAGAGAUGGAGAGGCAGAGCAUGGUGGGAGGGAGAACCUGGGUCCAGCAGGCUGUCCAGUUGUUCCUGGGUCCCCGUCACCAAUCUCUUCUGACUGUGCCCGUGUCUUCCUGCAGUUGAUAUGCCAGGGACCCCUCAGCCUCAGUUCCAGCCAGGCAGUGAGUUUCCAAUCUCCCAGCCUUCCCGCAUCUUCUCAGGGGACUGCUAUCUUCUCUAAGUCUCCGACCCUAGUCCCUCCUCCCAGCCGCAUCCCUGUCCUCUUCCUCCCCAUCUCCUCUGACUUCGAACAUGCCAGAAAAGA